rnacentral:misc_RNA from 1 species
AAGUCGUAACAAGGUUUCCGUAGGUGAACCUGCGGAAGGAUCAUUACCGAGUUCUCGGGCUUCGGCUCGAAUCUCCCACCCUUUGUGAACAUACCUCUGUUGCUUUGGCGGCUCUUUGCCGCGAGGAGGCCCUCGCGGGCCCCCCCCCCGCGCGCUUUCCGCCAGAGGACCUUCAAACUCCAGUCAGUAAACGUCGACGUCUGAUAAACAAGUUAAUAAACUAAAACUUUCAACAACGGAUCUCUUGGUUCUG